rnacentral:rRNA from 1 species
GGCUACCACGUGCUACAAUGGGAAGUACAACGAGUUGCGAAGUCGCGAGGCUAAGCUAAUCUCUUAAAGCUUCUCUCAGUUCGGAUUGCAGGCUGCAACUCGCCUGCAUGAAGCCGGAAUCGCUAGUAAUCGCGGAUCAGCACGCCGCGGUGAAUACGUUCCCGGGCCUUGUACACACCGCCCGUCACACCACGAGAGUUUGUAACACCCGAAGUCGGUGAGGUAACCUUUUGGAGCCAGCCGCCUAAGGUGGGAUAGAUGAUUGGGGUGAAGUCGUAACAAGGUAGCCGUAUCGGAAGGUGCGGUUGGAUCACC